AUUUUGGGGAGAGGGCUCCACCCAGCUCUAUUCCCCAGUUUUGGGGGAACCUGAAACUGCUUUGGCCCUGUUUGGCACAACUCCAGCUCCAGCUCCAUCCCUCCUGGGACUAGAAGCUCAGCCAAACAGUUUUAGCUCCACCAAAACUGGGAGUGGAGCUGGGUGGAGCUCUCUCACAAAAUGAACUAGA
rnacentral:misc_RNA from 1 species